rnacentral:rRNA from 1 species
UGAACUGAAGUAAGAACACGCUAAGAGGGGAGGAGAGACCAGUACUGCAGCUUGAAGAGAAGGUACAGCGAUUAGAGAGUACUUUCAGACCUCUGAAGGGUCGAGAAAAGUUGUUGUAUCUAAGACUGGACUCAAGAAGAUCCUCUUGUGACUCCCUCGCACUACCGCGCUGAGUAGCAGCAAGGGCAAGCGCCCACGCUAAGCAGGAGACUGCACGACCACACCGUUGGGAACUGAAACAUCUAAGUACCACGGUCUAGAAGUCAACCGAGACGGGCCUAGUACCGGUGAGGGAACGGCCCUCAGCCUACACCUAGCGCCUUGAGGCGUGAAGACAGCAGUGUCAACUGCUAAGGCUAAGCAAGCGCGGUACGAGUCGAAGUACUGAGAAGGAACGUAGGAGAAGUAGGAGGAUCUGAGCAGCCAUAGUAUGGCGUACCUCUUGUAUAAUGGGUCAGUGAGUUGGGCCUUCAAGUGAGAGCCAUCACAUGUAAGCAGACCGCUAAAGCAAGGUCAGAUUUGAAGGCCCAGACCCGAAAGUGGACGAUCUACAUACGACCCGGUAUGCCCCUAACAGACCCUUAGGCUCAGAGUGACCUCAUCUCACUGAGAGAGAUCACGAACAGCUAGGUGUACUCAGAGCUUCAGCUCUGGGGCCUUACACCACCAGGUCCUUAGAGGCAUGACCUCAUAGCUUAGUGUUGCAAUACUAUCUAGAGAGUCGUAUGUCGUAGUGAAAGGCUAACCUAGUCCACCGAUAGCUGGUUCUCUGUGAAAGACAUCUUAGUGUCACGUCAGGUAUGGACAGGUCUGUACAGCACGGAGAGGUACGGGGGGGCCCUAACGGGUCUACCCCUGCUUCUCAACCUCGGAAGGACCGUCCUCCUCAGCCUGGCAGUCAGACCGUACGCGAUAAGGUGUUCGGUCGAGAGGGCAACAACCCAGACUAUGCUUCGUAGGCCCCCAACCGUAGCCCAGUGGACAUGAUCCACCUCCCCCAACAGCUAGGCAGCCAGUGGGUUUGACACUAACCACCUGAUGAUGAACAUGUAACAAUGCACUGCCUCGAUGGAUGAGGUGGAGUAGAUAUACGGGCCUAAGCUACGGGCCGAGACAUAGGUCUCCCUACCUCAACGGUGGGAGACGGUAACAGAGCAGCUACCUUAGACACAUCACCCCUAAUGACUAGACUACACCGGUGUGUUGCAUAGCCCCUACUACUACUACGAGAGUGAUAGUGAUAGGACAAACGGCAUACCGCAAAGGUCUAGGUCAUUGAUGAGCUCAGAAACAUAGCACUGUAGUAGAGAGAUUAGAGUAGGCAGUCAGACGAGAGUCGGACGGCGUACUGGAAGGGUAUACUAGAGUGUUCCCGACGACGACGUUGUCAGGGAGAGAGCAAGGUAGCACGAGUAUGCUGACAUGAGUAGUGAUAGAGGGUCUAGGACCCUCCCCCCAAGCACAAGGUUUAACCACAAAGGCACGGCCCCUAAGUAGUGAGUGAGCCCAACAGCCCACUAGCCUGACAAGGACACUAUGAUGGGCACACGACCAAGUAAGACGAUGUAACCGUACUGUAGACCGACACCGGUGUGCUGCAGAGGGGAACGAGCGAACUGGCCUUAAUGAACUCGGCAACCGGGGCUAACCCCCGAAGAAGUGCGACUGUUUACCAAAAACACAGCACUCAGCAGGCUGGCAACAGCUGGUAUUGAGUGUGACCUCUGCCCGGCACAGGGCCUCAUAGAGUGUAGCGGUGUACUAGCCGCUGCACCACAACGGCUCUGUAAGCGGCGGUCUUAUCCUGAGGAUCUUAAGGUAGCGAAGUUCAUUGGCACGUAAUUGGUGUCCCGCAUGAAUGGCUGCACGACGCUUCAACUCUAUCAAGGCCAGGCUCGACGAAGUUGCAAUCGCAGUGAAGAUGCUGUGUACCUCCAGAUUGACAAGAAGACCCUAUGCAGCUUCACUCAAGCCUUCCAUUGCGGCUCCCAUACACCGGCGUACCAGCAAGUAAGAGAUCACCUGUAAGCCUUACAACGCUCUAGUAGGGAGUCGCUUAUCCACAUAGGUCCCUUCAAAGCCAACGUGAGAGCGCUAUCCCACUCACAGUGAGAUGUCGCCCACGAUGUGCUCGAAGGGCGUAAUGAAACCGGGAGACAGUGUAAGGUGGAGAGUUUCGAUGGGGCGUCGACAUCAGAGAGUCCAUCUGAUGUAUCUCGUACUACUAGAUGGCCAUGCUAUCACGAUAGCCUACUAGACCACCAGGAGGGUCACAGCUAGCCGGCAACUAGCCUCACAAGGACAAUGACCUAAGCCCUCCCCGACCGCCAGACCGACAGGUCGAGCGGGUACGUAAGUAGAGCAUAGUGAACAGGUAGAGCUCCGUGAUAGAGCUACCGACAAUGAAUGAAAGUUACGCUAGGGAUAACAGGGUCAUACCGCUCGAGAGUAGCCAUUGUCAGCGGUGUUUGCCACCUCGAUGUCGUCUAGGCUCAUCCUCCCCGUUGUAGCAGCAGGGAAGGGUAGGACUGUUCGUCCUUUGAAGAGCCACUUGAGAUGGGUUAACUACGACGUGAGUCAGUAGUGAUUUUAUCAUCUGGAGGCCAUCCAUCCCGUCUGCGUCUGGGUGUACGAAAGGAUCUUAGACGCUCUCCCUAUGGUGCUGGAGACAGCCUACUAGCACGGUACAGUCUUAACAGUCUGUGCCAACACGAUGGAGACUCAACAGUCCCCACCAGCUCAGUACAGGCUCAUCACUCCUAAGCUACGGAGGGUACGAGAAGCACUGAUCCCCUAUCAAGUGCCAAGCUACAGACGGAGAUGUUAUGAACAUCAUAGACCAUGAUGAAUGAAAGUGCCCCACGAUACAAUGGAGUAUCUCUCUUAUCCUCUUUGAGUCCAACUCUCAUACAACAACAUCCUAA